GAAGUCGGCCGGACCGCCGCUGGUGCAAGCUGGGAAACCAGGCACUGGAGGAACGUCCGGACUGCACAGGGCAGCGUAAGAGGUAACACCUCUCCACCGUGAGGUGAGGAUCAGAGCAACAGAGACGAGUCGCUACCGGGCAACCGGUAACGGGUGAAACGGGCAAUCUCUACGCGCAGCAAUACCAAAUAGGCCAGCGUUGAUGUGGCUCCGCGGAGCUGGCGGGUAGGUAGCACCGAGCCGGGUGGGCAACCCCCGGCCCAGAUAAAUGGCGGUCACGCUGCGGGCAACCGCAGUGCACAGAAUCCGGCUUACAGGCCGUCUUCACAC
rnacentral:RNase_P_RNA from 1 species